rnacentral:rRNA from 1 species
CUACGGGCGGCACCAGUGGGGAAUCUUGCACAAUGGAGGAAACUCUGAUGCAGCGAUGCCGCGUGAGUGAAGAAGGCCCUUGGGUUGUAAAGCUCUUUUGUCGGGAAAGAUAAUGACUGUACCCGAAGAAUAAGGUCCGGCUAACUUCGUGCCAGCAGCCGCGGUAAUACGAAGGGACCUAGCGUAAUUCGGAAUUACUGGGCGUAAAGCGCGCGUAGGCGGUUAAGUAAGUUAAUUGUGAAAGCCCAAAGCUCAACUUUGGAAUUGCAAUUAAAACUACUUAGCUAGAGUUUAUCAGAGGAAAGCGGAAUACAUAGUGUAGAGGUGAAAUUCGUAGAUAUUAUGUAGAACACCAGUUGCGAAGGCGGCUUUCUGGGAUAACACUGACGCUGAGGUGCGAAAGUAUGGGUAGCGAAGAGGAUUAGAUACCCGCGUAGUC